UACGUAGGUGGCAAGCGUUGUCCGGAUUUACUGGGCGUAAAAGAGCGCGCAGGCGGCUGGUCAAGUCCGAUGUGAAAGCUCCCCGGCUUAACUGGGAAACGGCAUCGGAAAACUGAUCGGCUUGAAGGUGGGAGAGGGUAGUGGAAUUCCCGGUGUAGUGGUGAAAUGCGUAGAUAUCAGGAGGAACACCGGUGGCGAAGGCGGGUCUCUGGGCCGACACUGACGCUGAGGCGCGAAAGCCAGGGAGCGAACGGG
rnacentral:rRNA from 1 species